AUAAUUAGGGCUUCUUUUAUUUUCAAGCUUGAUUGAAUAAUUAAUAACAACUAGAAGCCCAGCAUUUUCUUGAGGCAAACUCUCUCUACCUCGACAACAUGCAACCAAGUUAUUGGAGAUUAUCCAUUCUGAUGUUUGUAGACCUAUGAGGAUGCCAUCAAUAGGAGGUGCAAGGUAUUUUUUUACAUUCAUUGAUGACUUUCAAGAAAAGUAUUGUAGAAUAAGUAGUUAUUUUCAGAAUGUAGAUACCUAGUAUAUAGUAUAAACAGGGAUAGAUAACUGCUGAAAAGGUGGUUCAGCAGGUAGAAUGGAUGAAUAGUCAGGAAAAGUAGUUAUCAUCUGUAGUAUAGGAGUUGGUAUCUCGGGAUAGUAUAAAGAGGAUGGAAGAGGGGAAGAAAAUGCCAGACUGUGAGAGUUGUGAGCCGGGAUAAGCUUGGUGCUACCACUUUUCUUUUGUUUGUUAUUUUUUUUGAAUAAGAGGAUUGAAAGUUUUUGAAUAUUGUGAAGUGAAUUAUGGAAUGGAAAUGUGAUUGGUAUUAUUUGAGAAGAAGAAAGCUUGAAUGCUAAAAUCUGAUUGUAGUUCAGCAGAGAGAAUGAGUCUGUAUUUGUAUGAAACACUGUAAUGUGAAUGGCAGUUCUGUAUAAAGAAUUCCAGUGAUUGGAAUGAGGAUAAUUGUGUGCUG
rnacentral:lncRNA from 1 species